AAAGGAAUUGACGGGGGCCCGCACAAGCAGCGGAGCGUGUGGUUUAAUUCGAUGCAACGCGAAGAACCUUACCUAGAUUUGACAUACAAGUAGUAGGGAGCCGAAAGGUGACCGACCUUCGGGAGCUUGUACAGGUGCUGCAUGGUUGUCGUCAGCUCGUGUCGUGAGAUGUUGGGUUAAGUCCCGCAACGAGCGCAACCCUUGGGGUAUGUUUUACAUGUCAUGCCCGACAGCCCGUGAAAGCGGGAGGAAGGUGGGGAUGAGGUCAAAUCAGCAUGGCCUUUAUAUCUAGGGCGACACACACGCUACAAUGGCGCGUACAAAGGGCAGCGAACCCGCGAGGGCGAGCGAAUCUCACAAAGCGCGUCGUAGUUCGGAUUGGAGUCUGCAACUCGACUCCAUGAAGGCGGAGUUGCUAGUAACCGCGCGUCAGCCAUAGUGCGGUGAAUGCGUUCCCGGGCCUUGUACACACCGCCCGU
rnacentral:rRNA from 1 species